GGAAACAACAGCACUCUGACACCCCCCACAUGGAGUUCGUACGUCACGAGCCAAUCCCCCCCCUCUCUCUCUCUCUCUCUCAAAACCCCCAUUAAACACCUCCUCUCUCUGUCUCUCAACCCCCAUUAAACCCCUCUUCCCCUCAACCUCCACCGCAACCACCCAAAAUACCCUUUCUCUUUCGCUAAUACCCCCACCACCCCUCCCUUUCUCCCUUCCGUACCCUCCCCCGCCAACAUCUGCUCCCUCAUCCAUCCUCCUCCUCCCCAAGACCUCUAUCCUACAAACUCGUCGCAGUUGCCGCCGUCCUCGCCGUCUCGGCCGCCAUCGUCACUACAAUCAGUUUAGCGUCUUCCUCUACCUCCGCCGCCGCCGCCCCACCCGGCGGAACUCCCCCCGACGUCGACAAGUCUAACGUCUCGGACGUCGGCAAUGCGAACGCUCUGCGUGAUGUUAGUCACGUGCUUCCGAAGCAGAGACGAUCUGCAGCCGCCUCCUUAUAAUAACAGCUCCGACUUUCGCUACCUCGGCAGCAUUGCCGCCUCCCGCUGCUGCGCCAUCGGCGGCAGAGACGGAGACAAAAAAACAAAAAAUGGAUUCAACUGGUAGCUCAUUACUGUCAGGAUCACAGCCAAAAUCAAGAUUGGAAUCAACGGGUUUGGGAGGAUUGGGCGUUUGGCGGCGAGGGGGGUUCUCCAGACCAGAGCGAUGACGCUUGAACUCGUCGCUGUUUACGAUCCGUUCAUCACCACUGACUACACGUACAUGGUAACAAGUACUCCAUUUCCCUUAUCGUUAGCACCUGGUUAAUUUUUGCAUGAUAGAAAACGUACUCCCUCCUCGCAUAAUGUUUGCCCGUUCCGCGAAACGAAGACGUAAAAAUAAUACAAUUUUUGCAAGAAAAUUUUAAAAUUUUUCCUACAAUUCAUAGAUAUCGAUGAGUUCUUUUAAUUUAUGAAAAAAUUUUGAAUUCUUUAUUGAAAGAAAUUAAUUAUUUUUAAGUUCUCGUUUUAUGGACCGGACAAACAUUAUAGAUAAAGUAUACUACAAGUUUCAGCUAUAGAUCGAUAAACCGACGUACAUAAAUCCACGCACUUGAUUCUCUCGUUUGUUUGGUCAAGUUCUGAUUUUGGUUUCCAGUCCAUGCCUUGACUCAAAUAUCUUUAAUCCUUACUUUUCUCCAUUUUUUUAAAGAACUUUUUUCUUUAUCAAAACAUGGGAAAAAGAGAAAAAAUCACAGGCAUUCACAUUUUAGAGAACUGCUUUUCCCCUGACCGCCCCUGUUGAAAAGUAAGCUUGAUUGAUAAUGAAAGAUGUGUUUGGUACUAUUAGUUUGGAGGCUAGGUGGCUGGCCAAAGAAGUUAGAAAGAGAUUGGCUUGAAUUCAAUAAGUGUUGCCAAGAUUGACUUUGAUAGCCAAGGCAUGCGUGGGGUUAAAUGCUCGGAGGAAAAGCCUCCAAGCAUGAGCUUGGAAUAGUGAUAUUCUAUGCCUAUAAAUGGAUUUUUUGGCAGUGGAUAGAAAAAGAGUUGCAAAAGAGAGAGAGGAACGGGGACCCUCCAUAGGGGGUUUCCCCCACCAGUGUAGUGAGUUUGUGUGUGAGGAAGAGUAAGGAGAAAAGAAACAGAGAGAGUGAGGGCGUGGGAGCAACCCCAGAUCGGGGUUCUCCCCCAUAAGUUAUGUAUUUGUGCUUUGUUAUAAAUCAAUAGAAGAAGAGUUUGUUUAGUGCAUGAAUGUAUGUUGCUUCCACUUUCCAACAAUUGGUAUCCGAGCAUAGCCAAGCGAUCUUGAAUGAAGAAACUCAAGACGAGAAGGACAGGCUAGACGGGCCAAAGAAAUCUGACCCGGAAUUGACGAUCCGGAGAAAAGAAUCGGAGUCGGAGCAGAAAGCGAAGAUGAUUGUGAUGUCGAGGUCGGGAGGAUUCGACAGCGUGUGAGAGGUUGUCAUAUGUGGCAAUGUUUCUCUGUUUUUCUCGGAGGAGAAGAAGAGGAGUUGCAGAAAAGAAAAGAAAGAAGAAGGUGCAGGUGAAAAUAAAAAAUAAA